rnacentral:rRNA from 1 species
AGAGUUUGAUCCUGGCUCAGAACGAACGCUGGCGGCGCGUUUUAAGCAUGCAAGUCGAACGGUAGACCGGUGCUUGCACUGGUUGAGAGUGGCGAACGGGUGAGUAACACGUAGGUAAUCUACCUUGAAGUUGGGGAUAGCCUGUGGAAACACAGGGUAAUACCGAAUAAUGUCGGGUAACCGAAGAAAGAGGCUAUGGCCUCGCUUUAAGAUGAGCCUGCGGCUCAUUAGCUAGUUGGUAGGGUAAAGGCCUACCAAGGCGACGAUAAGUAGCCGACCUGAGAGGGUGACCGGCCACACUGGGACUGAGACACGGCCCAGACUCCUACGGGAGGCAGCAGCUAAGAAUCUUCCGCAAUGGUCGAAAGACUGACGGAGCGACGCCGCGUGGACGAUGAAGGCCGGAAGGUUGUAAAGUCCUUUUAUUGGAGAAGAAUAAUGUCAGGAGGGAAUGCCUGACAGAUGACGUUAUCCUAUGAAUAAGCCCCGGCUAAUUACGUGCCAGCAGCCGCGGUAACACGUAAGGGGCAAGCGUUGUUCGGAAUUAUUGGGCGUAAAGGGCGCGUAGGCGGCUAUGAAAGUCUGGUGUGAAAGGCCACAGCUUAACUGUGGGAGUACACUGGAAACUGCAUGGCUAGAGUACAAGAGGGGAAGUUGGAAUUCCUGGUGUAGGGGUGAAAUCUGUAGAUAUCAGGAAGAACACCUGUGGCGAAGGCGAACUUCUGGCUAUGAACUGACGCUGAGGCGCGAAAGCGUGGGGAGCGAACAGGAUUAGAUACCCUGGUAGUCCACGCUGUAAACGAUGUGCACUAGGUGUCGGUUGUUGUAACGAUCGGUGCCGAAGCAAACGCGAUAAGUGCACCGCCUGGGGAGUAUGCUCGCAAGGGUGAAACUCAAAGGAAUUGACGGGGGCCCGCACAAGCGGUGGAGCAUGUUGUUUAAUUCGAUAUACGCGAGGAACCUUACCAGGGCUUGACAUAUGCAUGACGAUCAUAGAGAUAUGGUUUCCCUUCGGGGCGUGUAUACAGGUGCUGCAUGGUUGUCGUCAGCUCGUGCUGUGAGGUGUUGGGUUAAGUCCCGCAACGAGCGCAACCCCUGCUGUCUGUUGCCAGCAUUUCGGAUGGGGACUCAGACGGUACUGCCGAUGACAAACCGGAGGAAGGUGGGGACGACGUCAAAUCAUCAUGGCCCUUAUGUCCUGGGCUACACACGUGCUACAAUGGCCGGUACAGAGCGUUGCAAAACCGCGAGGUGGAGCAAAUCGCAGAAAGCUGGUCUCAGUACGGAUUGGAGUCUGAAACUCGACUUCAUGAAGUUGGAAUCGCUAGUAAUCGCGCAUCAGCAUGGCGCGGUGAAUACGUUCCCGGGCCUUGUACACACCGCCCGUCACACCACCCGAGUUGGGGGUACCCGAAGUCGCUCGUCUAACCGGUUACGGAGGACGGUGCCGAA